rnacentral:rRNA from 1 species
AUUGAACACUGGCGGCAUGCCUUACACAUGCAAGUCGAACGGCAGCGCGGACUUCGGUCUGGCGGCGAGUGGCGAACGGGUGAGUAAUACAUCGGAACGUACCCUGUUAUGGGGGAUAACUAGUCGAAAGAUUAGCUAAUACCGCAUACGACCUGAGGGUGGAAGUGGGGGACCGCAAGGCCUCACGCAGCAGGAGCGGCCGAUGUCUGAUUAGCUAGUUGGUGGGGUAAAGGCCCACCAAGGCGACGAUCAGUAGCUGGUCUGAGAGGACGAUCAGCAACACUGGGACUGAGACACGGCCCAGACUCCUACGGGAGGCAGCAGUGGGGAAUUUUGGACAAUGGGGGCAACCCUGAUCCAGCAAUGCCGCGUGUGUGAAGAAGGCCUUCGGGUUGUAAAGCACUUUUGUCCGGAGAGAAAUCGCGCUGGUUAAUACCUGGCGUGGAUGACGGUACCGGAAGAAUAAGCACCGGCUAACUACGUGCCAGCCGCCGCCGUAA